AGAUGUGGCUCAAAUCUAACAUUAAGGUGGCUGAGGUAUAAGCCAGCAGCUACAGCUCUGAUUCGACCUUUAGCCUGGGAACCUCCAUAUGCCAUGAGUGCAGCCCUAAAAAGCAAAAAAACAAAAAAAACAAACAAAAAAAACAGAUGUUUCUAUGAAGGAAUUGUUCAGGCAUGAUUAACACUUAAGUCAGUACACACUGUGUAGAGCUGAUUACUCUUCAUACUGUGAGUGGUCCUUAUCUAAUUAGUUGAGGGUCUUAAGGGCAAAAACUGAAGCUUCCUAAAAUAGAAGGCAUUCUCCUCAAGACGGCAGCAUAGAAACCUUGCCUGACUUUGCAGACUGCUGCCCUGCUGAUCACACUCCAGAUGUAAUCCCCCCUGAGUUUAGGCUUCAGACUUGCCAACCCCAACAGUCACAUGAGCCAGUUCACAGAAAGCUCAUUUUCUCCUACUAGUUCUUUGGAGAACCCUGACUAAUACAAGUAUGGAAAAUCUACAUUAAAGAAGAGGUAUGAUUGAUAGCUCUCUUGUGGCUCAGCAGGUUAAGGAUCCAGUGUUGUCACUGCUGUAGCUUGGGUGGCAGCUGUGGCACAGUUCUGAUCCCUGGCCAUAGAACUGCCACAUGCCAAAAAUAAAUAAAAUGGUAAAUUAAAAAAAAUAGAUAUGGAGUGUCUGCUGUGGUGGAAUGCCAUUGGCAGCAUCUUAGGAGUGCUGGGAUGCAGGUUCAAUCUGUGGCAUGACACAGUGGGUCAAGGAUCUGGCAUUGCUGAAGCUACUGCUUAGAUCAAGACUAUAGCUUGGAUAUGAUCCCUGGCCCAGGAACUCCAUAUGCCACCGGGCAGCCAAAAAUGAAAGGAAAAGAAAUUACAAUUAUUAUGAUUAUAAGAGAUUUCAGUGGGCUAUAUCACUUUUAUAGUAAUCCUCUGAAGAAAGCACCACCUGCUUAUCAGUUUGCAAAAGUGAUACGUCUUGAAGGAGCCUUGAAAAAUUUAGUACUUCACAAGUCCCCAUGUGGCACAGCAAGUUGAGGAUCUGGCUUUGCCAUAGCUGUGAUGCAGGCUGCAACUGCAGUAGGUUCAGUCCCUGGCCUGGGAAUUUCCACAUGCUAUGGCCCUAAAAAAAAAGAAAGAAAACCCAUGUAUAUUCUAUCCAGCUUCAUCUAGUUUACCCAUUUACUUUAUCAUUGUGCCCAUACUGUCUUGCUGUACACAUAUACACUUGAGAGUAAGUUUUUUUUGUUUUUUGUCUUUUAAGGCUGCACCCACAGCAUAUGGAGAUUCCCAGGCCAGGGGUCUAAUUGGAGUUGUAGCUGCCAGCCUACACCACAGCCACAGCCACGCCAGAUUCAAGCUGUCUGUGACCUACACCACAGCCGACAAUGCUGGAUCCUUAACCUGCUGAGCGAGGCCAGGGAUUGAACCCACAACCUCAUAAUUCCUAGUAUGAUUGUUUCCAUUGCACCACUACAGGAGCUCCCAGAGAGUAAGUUAUAUACACUGUUAGUCCUUACUUCUAGAUGUUUCAGUGUGUAUUUCCUAAGAGGAGAUGAUACUCUGUUACUCAUCCGGUACAGUUAUAAACUAAGGUAAAUUUAUUAUUGGUUUAAUACUUAUAUCUAUUCCAUUAUCUGUGUUCUACUUGUACUAAUUCAUUGAACAUUGUCCUUUAAAGCAUUUUUUAAUUCUUUUCCAUUAUGGUUUAUUUCAAGAUAUCAAAUAUAGUUCCCUGUGCUGUACAGUAGGACUUUGUUGUUUAUUUUUUACAGUUAGCUUGCAUCUGCUAAUCCCCAAAUCCUAAUUUAUCCCCCCUACUUUCUCCUUUCAUAACCAUAAGUUUGUUUUCUAUGUCUGCAAGUCUGUUUCUCUUUUAUAAAUAAGUUUGUGUCAUAUUAUACAUUCCACAUAUAAGUGAUAUAUGGUAUUUGCCUUUCUCUUUCUGACUUCACUUAGUAUGAUAAUCUGUAAGUCCAUCCAUGUUGCUGCAAAUGGUAUUAUUUCAUUCCUUUUGUGGCUGAGUAAUAUUCCAUUGUAUAUAUGUACGAUAUCUUUAUUCAUUCAUCUGUAAAUGGACACUUAGGUUGCUUCCAUGUCUUGGCUCUUAUAAACAGAGCUACUGUGAACAUGCGUCUUUUCAAAUUAUAGUUUUCUCUGAUUAUAGGCCCAGAAUUGGGAUUGUUGGGUCAUGUGAUAACUUUAGUUUUCAUUUUUUAAGGAACCUCCAUACUGUUUUCCAUAGUGGCUGCACCAUUUUAUAUUCCCACUAACAAUGUAGGAGGAUCUCUUUUCUCCACACCCUCUCUAGUGUUUACUAUUAUUUAUAGAUUUUUUAAUGUGACAAUUCUGACUGCUGUGAGGUGAUACCUCGUUGUAGUUUUGAUUUGCCUUUCUCUAACAGUGAAGUUGAGCAUCUUUUCAUGUGUCUUUGGCCAUUUGUAUGUCUUUGGAGAAGUGUCUAUUUAGAUCUUCUGCCCAUUUUUUGAUUGUUGUUGUUGCUAUUGAGUUGUAUGAGCCAUUUGUUUAUUUUGGAAAUUAGGCCCUUGCCAGUUGCAUUGUUUGCAAAUAUUGUUUUCCAUUUUGUGGGUUUUUUCAUCUUGUUUAUGGUUUCCUUUGCUAUGCAAAAGCUUAAAGCAAUUUUUUUUUCUUUAAUAUGGGAUCAAGUUCUCAUGUCUUUCUAAUAUGGCUUUUCCACAGCCUUUCUUUGUCUUGUAUGACAUAGGAGCCAUCGUUUUGAUGCAUGAUUUCCAGGAAAAUAGGUUAUUCAGCAAUUGCUAGUUUUAGCACAAAUCAGAGUCAGAUAUAAAUGAAUAUCAGAUGUAGUUUUCCUCCUAGGACCUCAUUAAGAUCACACAGAAUUCUGGAUAUGAAACACAUACCCUAGUAAUGCCCUACUAAAUCACUUAAUAGUCCCGUUGCUCUGUUAACGAUCUCCUCAUCUAGGUUUUCCUUUGCCCUGGUCAGUCAGUGGGUAAGACAGACUUUGUGUCUGAAGUCCUAUAACUAAAAGCUUAUUUUGAAUUAGAGCUGGGUUUGGGAAUUAGAACCGCAUCUGGUUUUCAGGUAAUUAAUUCAUAAGAGGAAACUAAGAUCUAGAGUUUGAAAAAAAUUUCAGUGAGAAGACAUUGAAGUCACCGGGGAUAGGCUUUUCCAAAAUAUGAUCCCUUCAGCUUUAUUUAAUAUAUUUUAUAUUUUAAAAAAACUAAUAUAAUUAGCUUGAUUUAGCCCAUAACAAGCUCUGGCUUCUUUCUUUCUUUUUUAACAAAGGGGAACAUUGGAUUAAAUUACUAUUCAUCUGAAAAUAUUAUUCCAUGGGGAAAAACCCAUUAGAUGCAUAAAGACAGAUAAUGCUAAAUAGUUAAUUGGGAACAGAGGAUCACGUGAUGGAGAAUAGAUGACUAAGAGUUACUGGUUUUGAAAUAAGUUUUUAUGCAGUGUCAUAUAGUCUAGUUAAAAUCACUGUCAUGAUGACUUCUGGUCCAGAAGUGGAAGUCAUAUAGUGCAUCAUGUAACAGCUUCGCUUUGGCUGACUUGCUGUCUUGGCAUGGCUUUUGCUGCAGAUGCGUAUAGAGAUGGUGCAUGUCAUACUUCUAAAAAAUGUCAUCGAAUAACAGACUAGAAACAAUUUAAGGAAACUUCUGAAUUAAUAGAUUUUUUUAAAAAGAUAAUUUAUUUAAAAUUAUGUUCUUGUGACCAGUGAAAAUAACUUUUUCUAAACAGGAAAAAUGCUAAAUUAGAAUUUGAUAGGGAGCUGAGGGGGAAGGGUUAUACAUGUUUAGAUAGUUAACAGCUGAUUACCAGUGAGAAAUCUGCCCCCCCCACCAUAAUAGAUAUUACUUUUAUGAAAAAGAAAGCUGCUUUUUGUUUUGUUUUAUUUGUAAAACUUGGUGAAUAAAAUGAUUGCCCUUUAAAAGAACUGAAUGCCAUUCUCAUUUAGAGACCAAUGAAUUGUGGGGCCUAGUAACCAAGAUCAGGAAGUUAGUAAUAAAGUUUGCUAAGAAAAAUGACUCAUUCACCCAAUUUAGUCAACACACCUUGCUCUGGAAACCCAAGUGGCCUUGGUCCUAAGGAAGAUGUGCCCAUACUAAGUGUAAAACAUCUCUGAUGAAACAAAGGUUUCUAGACACAUUUCUAAAGCGUUUUCCAUUAUUUACCACACAGGAGGUCAGGUGUGAUGCAAAUGAAAGGUAGUUGUUUUGUUUGGAUGAGUCCCCCCCACCACCACCUUGACAAGGACAGAGAUGCUUCUUUCUCAUCACGUGAAGGGAUUAAAUUGUUUCCUUCUGAAUGGGCCUGUACCGGCUCAGUGCAGAAGGAGCCAUGUGCUUGGGGAUGAGUUCUGGCUUUUGCCUUCCAGCUUCUUCAAGUGGUUUUCCACCCCUUAAUGUACCUAAAUGGAAUUUGAAGAGGCUGCUCUCUACUUCCUCCCAGAGAGACAGAUCCUCCGGUGAGUCAUGCAGGCAGGCGCUCCAGCGGCUGGGCGUUUGCUCUUCUAAGCAGACAAGCUUGCAUUGCACCAGCAUCCCGUGUUGCCUACAGCAUCAGCAGUCUCCUCUUGUAUCCCAGACAAGGCUGCCAACUCUGCCUGGUGCCACAGCCCCAAGGAACCAAGGCCCGGGUCUAAGGAUUUUAUAGACUGGGAGGGAAAGGGGAUAACUGAUGCCCAUUUCACAGCAAGAGCAGCAAGGGUGUGUACUGGGGGAAAUGGGUAGCAGUAUGCUGGGUCUGGGCUGAGGAAGACCGGUGGAGACUGUGAUUCAGUCUAGGGUCUGGAGUGCCUGCAGCAGUAUUUUAGGACUUAGGCACUACUUUAAAAAAUCACCAUGGGAGGGUCCCUUGUGGCACAGCGAGUUAAAGAUCCAGCAUUGCCACAGCUGUGGUGCAGGCUGCAACUGUGGCUUGGUUCCAUCCCUGGCCUGGGAACUUCCAGAUGCUGGGGUAGGGGGUGGUGGAGGUUAAAAAAAAAAAAAUCCCCAUGAAUAAUUCGUGAAUAAUUCUUUUCCAUUUCCCUAAGAGAGCUCAGGUAUGAGCAUUAAAUUUUCUUGUCUUUUUUUUUAUUUCUUUUACCCAACUCUUUUUUUUUUUUUUUUAAUUUUUAAAAAGAUUUUUAGGAGUUCCUGUCGUGGCUCAGCGGUUAGCAAACCCAACUAGCAUCCAUGAGGACUCGGCUUUGAUCCCUGGCCUCACUCAGUGGGCUAAGGAUCUCGUGUUGCCAUGAGCUGUGGUGUAGGUUAGAGACACGGCUCAGAUCCUGCGUUGCUGUGGCUGUGGCAUAGGCCGGCAGCUCCAGCUCCGAUUGGAUCCCUAGCCUAGG
rnacentral:lncRNA from 1 species